rnacentral:rRNA from 1 species
AGAGUUUGAUCAUGGCUCAGAACGAACGCUGGCGGCAUGCCUAACACAUGCAAGUCGAACGAAGGCUUCGGCCUUAGUGGCGCACGGGUGCGUAACGCGUGGGAAUCUACCCUUGGGUGCGGAAUAACUCAGAGAAAUUUGUGCUAAUACCGCAUAAUGUCGCAAGACCAAAGAUUUAUCGCCCAAGGAUGAGCCCGCGUAGGAUUAGCUUGUUGGUGAGGUAAAAGCUCACCAAGGCGACGAUCCUUAGCUGGUCUGAGAGGAUGAUCAGCCACACUGGGACUGAGACACGGCCCAGACUCCUACGGGAGGCAGCAGUGGGGAAUAUUGGACAAUGGGCGAAAGCCUGAUCCAGCAAUGCCGCGUGAGUGAUGAAGGCCUUAGGGUUGUAAAGCUCUUUUACCCGGGAUGAUAAUGACAG